AUGGCAGAACUCCUUUCACAUUUGAUACUGAGAAUACUUUCAAUGACAACGAAUCCAAACAACUGCUUUUUUUGUCUGAUUACAAGACUGUUGGCCUUCUGGAAAGGGAGAAAAGUGGGGAACAUUUCGGAGUCUGGCUUACAGCUCAGGGGAGGAAGCUGGCUGCUGCAGACAGUCUCCCAGGAAACAGCCCGUCUUGUCUUCAGAGGAGUAUCUGGAGGCUUUCUGCACUCAGCGGCCUGUUGAAAUUCUCUAAAAGGGCUGGAUGAGCUCCUUACAAGUGACAUAGUCUUCUUUCUUUGGGAUGUGAGGAAUUUAAGCUCUUCAGAGUCAUGCUGGAAGAAGAGAGACUCCUUCCUUCUGGUAUUUGGGCUCUCACCCAGUGUAAGAAAUCCGUAAGGGGUGGUGAUUUUGGAGAGGUGGGGCAAAGAGAGGGCAGCUCUUGUUGCUGGGUCGGAAUGAUGUGCUGCUCUCUCUAAGUCUCCAGGGAAAAUUGCUUGGUCCGCAAAGCACAGGGUUCCUCUUCUGUGCAGACUUCCUCCUUUACACAGUGCAUCUUUCCUGAUGUAGGAUUCAGAUUUGCUUCUAGUUGUCCUGCGCUUUUGAACAACUUCAUCAGACAUUUGUCUCUCUGGAGGAUUCUCAAUGGUAUCUUCCUCUGGUUCCUGUUGAAAGGCAAUAUGCUCUAUGUCCAGAGAAGGGAUGAAAAAUUUAGGGAUGCGAUCAGGAGUCAUGACAAUGUUGAAAAUAUCCGUGUUUUUCUGAGCCAUUUUAUCUGCAGAAGUUGGCUUGCUGAUUUUGAAGCUUGUCCAAGUUAGCAAGCUUUCUAUAGCAUUUUUUAUGGAGAGCUGGGAUGUACCACAAGGCACCAUUAUUUCAGCCAGAAGUGCUUUCUUACAAAACACAAUGCUGUCUGCUGAUUGAAUUUGCACAGCACUGAUUGCAGAUGGGGAACUCAUUCCUGCUUAUAAAACAAAGCAAAUGACGUCAUCUGAUAGCUAGAUGUCAUUGGCAUGGUAACCAAAGAUAAGAAGGCUUUUACACUCCUACUUAUAUACUUACAGUCUGAUUCAUGCUGCACCAUUACCUUAAAUAAGCUUAAACAUUUGAUUUAAUGAUUUUAAAAUGCCAGGUUUGGUGCUAGUUUCCUAGCUAUUUUCAGGACAGGAAAAAAAAAAAAAAAAGGCUGCAAAUGUACCUGCAACUUUCAGACUAUUCAUGUUGUGUUAUCUGUGCUAUUGCACAAAAUAGAUUUAGGCUUUUACUUUAUGUGAAGGGCUGUGACACUAAAAUGAUGUGCAAGUAGACAUAAAAAGCAUAGCUCACAUAUGAUUACUUAGUUUAGCUUUCAGUAAAUCAUACUAUUUUGUGUAAUUUACAUUGAGGUUGUGAGGGAAAAGGGUAGGAAUUGAGAUAUCAAACAAUUAUUGGUCUAGUAUAUAGUAAUGUAUUCUAAGGAUCUCAAACUGUCUUUCACUGGUGUAUGAUAUUUAAUGUUGAAAAAGUAGGCUCCUCAGUGAAGACUCAGAUUAAAUAUCUAUGAUUAAAGGAUGGACAUCUGCUCAGGUG
rnacentral:lncRNA from 7 species